rnacentral:rRNA from 1 species
UACGGGGGGUGCAAGCGUUGUUCGGAAUUACUGGGCGUAAAGGGCUUGUAGGUGGCCAACUAAGUCAGACGUGAAAUCCCUCGGCUUAACUGGGGAACUGCGUCUGAUACUGGAUGGCUUGAGAUUGGGAGAGGGCUGCGGAAUUCCAGGUGUAGCGGUGAAAUGCGUAGAUAUCUGGAGGAACACCGGUGGCGAAGGCGGCAUCCUGGACCAACACUGACACUGAGGAGCGAAAGCCAGGGGAGCAAACGGG